GAAAAUUACGCCACGGAAACGACAUGCUACCAGUAACGAUUAUUACUGUGAAAUCCUCAGGCUUGCCGUAUUUUUGUUUGUUUGUUUGUUUAUUUGUUUUGACUGAGAAAUUUCCUUGCGUCCCAAAAACGCACAUUAUUUGGAACCGUGCGUCCCGUGGGAAAAUUAUGCGUCUAGGACGCGGGACGCAGAGGUAACGAGAUGGCUGAAUCUCUAAACAUUCUCUGAGUC